rnacentral:rRNA from 1 species
ACUCCUACGGGGAGGCAGCAGGUGGGAAUAUUGCACGAAUCGGGGAAACCCUGAUGCAGCCAUGCCGCGUGUGUGAAGAAGGCCUUCGGGUUGUAAAGCACUUUCAGUAGGGAGGAAGGUAGUGUAGUUAACACCUGCACUAUUUGACGUUACCUACAGAAGAAGCACCGGCUAACUCCGUGCCAGCAGCCGCGGUAAUACGGAGGGUGCGAGCGUUAAUCGGAAUUACUGGGCGUAAAGCGUGCGCAGGCGGUUUGUUAAGCGAGAUGUGAAAGCCCCGGGCUCAACCUGGGAAUUGCAUUUCGAACUCGCAAGCUAGAGUCUUGUAGAGGGGGGUAGAAUUUCAGGUGUAGCGGUGAAAUGCGUAGAGAUCUGAAGGAAUACCGGUGGCGAAGGCGGCCCCCUGGCACAAAAGACUGACGCUCAUGCACGAAAGCGUGGGGAGCAAACAGGAUUAGAUACCCUGGUAGCGAGUAG